rnacentral:lncRNA from 1 species
GUUUAGGUUCUAGGGGGAGCCAAAGAUAACCGUAAAAUCCACGUAUUUAAAAGUCUUAUAACUUUUUAUUUUUGUCCCCACUGGCCUCCAAGUUUUCUAGGAUGAUGCAAUGUCCAGCCAUCAACACAUUUGUGAAGGAAUUUUUACUCGGCAAAAGAGCGCCCCCCCAUGGCAGGAGAAAAAAGUCAAUUUUUUCUUGUCCACUAAGGUGAAAAUACACAUUGUUGAGUGCUACGCCUGUAUGUUUUGUCGUAUUGACACAAAAUUUUACAUACCCGUGUAUUUCAAUAAGAUCUUCGAAAAAGUCAAUGGCCACGUAUCUGUAAAAUGUACGGUUAAAGGGUUAUUUCGCAUUUUUUGCAGAUUCGCACACAUUGGAAUUUCGCUAAUUCCUCCGAAGGCUUUCGUUCCACCGGCACCACAUUUGCUCAGGCCAAUCUACACCCCAUGGCCAUUAAAAGUUAUUCAAAUCAUGACGCUGCACCCCACGGUUUAGGUUCUAGGGGGCGCCAAAUAUAACCCUAAAAUCCACAUAUUUAAAAGUCUUAUAACUUUUUAUUUUUGUCCUCACUGGCCUCCAUGUUUUCUAGGAUGAUGCAAUGUCCAGCCAUCAACACAUUUGUGAAGGAGUUUUUUCUCUUUAAAAGAGCGCCCCCCCAUGGCAGGAGAAUAAAGUCAAGUUUUUCCUGUUCAUCAUUCAAUGGCUCAAAUGCACUGCUCUCUCGGCAAAAGCGAAAGGAGGAGCAACUUGCCAUUUGGAUAUAUCUUAGCUGUGUUUGUGCCCUCACUCAUGGUCCAGACUUUUUUCAAAUAGGACAUGGAGUUUCUCUGCAGCGAGCGUUUUGGUAGAAACUGCGCCUCCCAUUCAUUAUAAUGGUAAAUGACCACAAACAAGUGCGCACACCAUCUUUGGACCUUGAGUGUGACGCGAUCGGGUGGGGGAGGCGGUCGCGCUGGGGGCGGCGUGACACGGCUCGGGCCCGCCAGUGCCCCAACGGGGCCCUAGUUAUUAUUUUUCCUCCCCUUUGAACUGGAAAAUGGCCCACUUCCCACUGGCGAAAACUCAUGAAAUUUGGCAGGACGACCGGGCCUGGUGAAAAAUUUGAUAUUCCGAAGUCGCCCAAACAAGAAAAUGCAAAUUGGCUCCAUAGCGCCCCCUAAGGUGAAAAUUCACACUAUUCACUGUCACGCCUGUACGCUUUGUCAAAAUGACACAAAAAUUGACACACACAUGUAUCUCAAUAAGAUCUACAAAAAAGUCAGUGCGGGCGUAUCUGUCAAAUGUACGGUUAAAGGGUUAUUUCGCAUUUUUUGCCGAUCCGCACACAUUGGAAUUUCGCUAACUCCUCCGAAGGCUUUCGUUCCACCGGCACCACAUUUGCUCAGGCCAAUCUACACCCCAUGGCCAUUAAAAGUUAUUCAAAUCAUGACGCUGCACCCCACGGUUUAGGUUCUAGGGGGCGCCAAAGAUAACCCUAAGAUCCACAUAUUUAAAAGUCUUAUAACUUUUUAUUUUUGCCCUCACUGGCCUCCAAGUUUUCUAGGAUGAUGCAAUGUCCAGCCAUCAACACAUUUGUGAAGGAAUUUUUACUCCCCAAAAGAGCGCCCCCCCAUGGCAGGAGAAAAAAGUCCAUUUUUUCUUGUCCCCUAAGGUGAAAAUACACAUUGUUGAGUGUAACACCUGUACGCUUUGGCAAAAUGACACAAAAAUUGACACACACAUGUAUCUCAAUAAGAUCUACGAAAAAGUCAAUGCGCGCGUAUCUGUCAAAUGUACGGUUAAAGGGUUAUUGCGCAUUUUUUGCCGAUCCGCACACAUUGGAAUUUCGCUAACUCCUCCGAAGGCUUUCGUUCCACCGGCACCACAUUUGCUCAGGCCAAUCUACACCCCAUGGCCAUUAAAAGUUAUUCAAAUCAUGACGCUGCACCCCACGGUUUGGGUUCUAGGGGGAGCCAAAGAUAACCGUAAAAUCCACAUAUUUAAAAGUCUUAUAACUUUUUAUUUUUGUCCCCACUGGCCUCCAAGUUUUCUAGGAUGAUGCAAUGUCCAGCCAUCAAC